CUCUCAUCACAUCUUUAAUUCUGUUUUUAGAGAGAGAAAACUGAUAUUUUGGAGAGAGAAACAACAAUAUUCAUCUUGUUCAUCUGGACACCAAGAACACACGCACAAAUGUGGUGAUUCUACUAGAUGGCAUAUCCUGUUACUACAACCCGUAGCUACACAUGUUACAUUUUUUUACAGCUACAUAUGUAACAACCCUUUGUUAUAUAUGUUAAUGACCAGCUUGUUGGAGUAUGUUAAUGGAGUUUAUGCAAGAGAUGAGUCAGCAAAGGUAGCAUAUAAAUAGCAAAGACAGACCGUCAAUGGAAGCUCCACCGCUUCUUAGUGAUCUGUGUUUUCGUUUACUAGUAAUAUGUAAUGUGAGACUCUUAUUAUUUUGUCUAGGACGUGUUGUUAAAAAUGUUCUGGCCUUCCGAACUUCUGCCCUGAAGUCGACCUCAGCAUAUUUGUGUUGCUUUUGGGCUCUAUGCAUCCAUUUUUGUGUAACUUGCUUGUAGGCAAUGUAGCUUUUUACAAGUUUACCAGUACAUUAAUCUCUAACACAUGUUAUGUGUAA